GAUGAACGCUGGCGGCGUGCCUAACACAUGCAAGUCGAACGAGCGAGAGAUGAAACCUAGUGAUUCUCGAGCGAGUGGCGGACGGGUGAGUAACGCGUGGGUAACCUGCCUUACAGAGGGGGAUAACAGUUUGAAAAGACUGCUAAUACCGCAUAAGCACACAGUACCGCAUGGUACAGGGUGAAAAGAUUUAUCACUGUAAGAUGGACCCGCGUCUGAUUAGCCAGUUGGCAGGGUAACGGCCUACCAAAGCGACGAUCAGUAGCCGGCCUGAGAGGGUGAACGGCCACAUUGGGACUGAGACACGGCCCAAACUCCUACGGGAGGCAGCAGUGGGGGAUAUUGCACAAUGGAGGAAACUCUGAUGCAGCGACGCCGCGUGAGUGAAGAAGUAUUUCGGUAUGUAAAGCUCUAUCAGCAGGGAAGAAAGGCUCGCAAGAGAGAUGACGGUACCUGACUAAGAAGCCCCGGCUAACUACGUGCCAGCAGCCGCGGUAAUACGUAGGGGGCAAGCGUUAUCCGGAUUUACUGGGUGUAAAGGGAGCGCAGACGGUCAAGCAAGUCUGAAGUGAAACCCCACGGCUCAACCGUGGGCUUGCUUUGGAAACUGUUUGACUAGAGUACUGGAGAGGUAAGCGGAAUUCCUAGUGUAGCGGUGAAAUGCGUAGAUAUUAGGAGGAACACCAGUGGCGAAGGCGGAUUGCUGGACGGCAACUGACGGUGAGGCGCGAAAGUGUGGGGAGCAAACA
rnacentral:rRNA from 1 species